CACCGUGAGGGGCAGGCGAGAGGAAGGGAUAGCGAAAUCGUAACCUGACGAACAGGAACCUGAUACAAGGCGCGCUUGGCGGAUGAGCUGGCUAAGGACAGCAAAGUCCCAAAGGCAACCGUAACCCAAGGGCGUAAAUCAGGCAGGCAGACGAGGAAAGA
rnacentral:ncRNA from 1 species